CGGCACUGGCGAGUUCCCCAGCGGAGAUGUCCCCGUAGAUCAUGUCGCUGCCUCUUCUCCUGAUGUCUUUGGAUUCGGAUCUUCUUCAGUCGAUGUGGAUCCGAACGCUAGCUAUUCGCAGAGUCCGUUCAGCACGAUCCACGUUGAAAACGGCAACGGCAACGGUUAUAAUGUAGCUGGAGAUGGCGUUUUUACUUCGGAUGGGCCUGUGCUUCCUCCACCUUCUGAGAUGGAGCCCGAGGAAGGAUACGCCCUUCGCGAGUGGCGGCGUCAAAAUGCCAUUCAUCUUGAGGAGAAGGAAAAGAGGGAGAAGGAAAUGAGGAAGCAGAUUAUUGAAGAAGCGGAAGAGUAUAUACUUGCUUUUUAUGAGAAAAGGAAGCUUAACAUUGAG
rnacentral:misc_RNA from 1 species